rnacentral:rRNA from 1 species
UACGUAGGGGGCAAGCGUUGUCCGGAAUUAUUGGGCGUAAAGCGCGCGCAGGCGGUUGAUUAAGUUUGGUGUUUAAGCCCGGGGCUCAACCCCGGUUCGCACUGAAAACUGAUCGACUUGAGUGUAGGAGAGGAAAGUGGAAUUCCACGUGUAGCGGUGAAAUGCGUAGAGAUGUGGAGGAACACCAGUGGCGAAGGCGACUUUCUGGCCUAUAACUGACGCUGAGGCGGCGAAAAGCGUGGGGAGCAAACAGGG